rnacentral:rRNA from 1 species
GACAGAGGGGGCAAGCGUUGCUCGGAAUCACUGGGCGUAAAGGGCGCGUAGGCGGGAUGGCAAGUCAGUCGUGAAAUCUCUCGGCUCAACCGAGAAACGUCGGCUGAUACUGCCGUUCUUGAGGGAUGCAGAGGAGACUGGAAUUCCCGGUGUAGCGGUGAAAUGUGUAGAGAUCGGGAGGAACACCGGUGGCGAAGGCGGGUCUCUGGGACGGUACUGACGCUGAGACGCGAAAGCGUGGGGAGCGAACAGG